UGCAUCACUUCAGUCUACAUUUAGGUUUAGUUUGUAAAAUCCUUUUAAUAAUGCUAUGGUAAGAUUUCCAUUUCUAAUAUCAUCCAUAUGUUCCUUUAAAUGACAUUUCAAACUUUUAGAAGUACUUCCUAUAUAAAACUUUCAUGCCUGUGUCUAUAUUGGCUGCCUAUGGUACAUGGGCACAGAAUAACUGAUCAGGUUAGUACUUUGUCAUUGCAUAUGGUGUCUGGUGUCUUUUGCAAAGUACCUUUUGAAUUAAGUUUGAUUUUAAGAUUCUGCAAAGUCAGAUCAUAUAAGAUUGGUUUCUAUAGUCUUAUUUCCUAGCAACAGAAUUUUGUAAUUGUAAAGAUAGUUUGUAAGAAUGAAACUUAGCU
rnacentral:lncRNA from 1 species